rnacentral:rRNA from 1 species
UACAUGGGGUGCAAACGUUGCUCGGAAUUACUGGGCGUAAAGCGUGCGCAGGCGGUGAUGUAAGACAGUUGUGAAAUCCCCGGGCUUAACCUGGGAACUGCAUUGGUGACUGGCGGGCUGGAGUAUGGCAGAGGGGGGUAGAAUUCCACGUGUAGCAGUGAAAUGCGUAGAGAUGUGGAGGAAUACCGAUGGCGAAGGCAGCCCCCUGGGCCAAUACUGACGCUCAUGCACGAAAGCGUGGGGAGCAAACAGG